rnacentral:misc_RNA from 1 species
GUCAUCAAGUGGCCGCCAUCAAGAACUAGACAACAAGAAAGGUAAAGAAAAAAUCUAAAGUAAUCCUUUGUAAUCAUCGUUAGUUUGAUGUUAAUUAUCAAUUCAAACUAAAGGAAAUUACCAAUGAAGUAAUUUUGGACCUGUAUUUUUUAAUGAUUUACCAAGAAAUGUGAUUAUUUUCAUGAAAAUUGCAAACCGGCAUCCUAUAGUGACGCCAUUGAAAUUUGCAGUCAUAAAUACAGCAAACGUAAAACAAAAUUUCUUGGAAAGCACAGUGUGCAGCUAAAUUAAAAGCGAAUGACUAUUUAAUUUACGAUACGAUAAAUGUUUGUCAUGAUUUCAAUGAUGUGAAAUUGGGAUAUGGUUUGUUUACUUUUGUUUAAGGACAACAUGGCAGACAAUGAGAACGAAACUGAACUUUUAGACUACGAAGAUGAUGAAACCGAAACCACUGCAGAUGGGACUGGUGAUGCACCAGUAAAGAAAGAUGUGAAGGGAACAUAUGUAUCCAUUCACAGUUCUGGAUUCAGAGAUUUUCUUCUGAAACCAGAGUUGCUCAGAGCCAUUGUAGACUGUGGAUUUGAGCAUCCUUCUGAAGUUCAGCACGAGUGUAUUCCUCAAGCUAUUCUGUCCAUGGAUGUCCUUUGUCAGGCCAAGUCUGGUAUGGGAAAGACAGCUGUGUUUGUGUUGGCCACACUGCAGCAACUGGAACCUGUUGAUGGUCAGGUAUCAGUGUUGGUUCUAGCACACACCAGAGAAUUAGCUUUCCAGAUCAGCAAAGAGUAUGAGAGAUUCAGCAAGUACAUGAACAACGUGAAGAUUGCUGUUUUCUUUGGAGGAAUGUCCAUCAAGAAGGACGAGGAUGUUCUGAAGAAGAAUUGCCCCCACAUUAUUGUUGGUACACCUGGUAGAAUUCUAGCCCUCUGCCAUUCCAAAGUCCUCAACCUGAAGAAUGUCAAGCACUUUGUUCUUGAUGAAUGUGACAAAAUGUUGGCAGCUCUUGACAUGAGGAGAGACGUCCAGGAAAUCUUCCGCAACACCCCCCAUGAAAAGCAAGUGAUGAUGUUCAGUGCUACACUUAGCAAGGAAAUUCGAGCAGUCUGCAAGAGAUUCAUGCAAGAUGUAAUUAGCACACCCUUUCUUCUAGCUAUGGCUGCGUGAAGUGUUAUUUUUUCUGGAGUUGUUGAUGGGCAGUGUUUUGUGUUUGAUAUCGUGUUCAGUGUCUCCUUCAAGUGAUCGCUUUGCAACCUUUUGUUGUAGAGCAUUGACUUUGUGAAUGAACUUUGUUACCCGUAAAGGGUUCGCGCUCAGAAAUAAGUCAAUAGUUGAUCUCAAAUUAGCGCCAUUUGUAAAAUAUCAUUGGAAAAAAAAUAUUUAAAGUAUUUAAAAUUGGGGGGUCCUAUUUGUGGAAAAGAAAUUCAGAACAUGAAAUUAGCAAUUUAAAUCCAAAAGGAUGUUAAUGGACUUGAAACCAGUGUCAGAGGUGCACAAGUCUCGCUGCUCUGAAAGUGGCGGGCAGGCUGCAUCUCUGUUGUGCUGUUGAUAAACAUCGAUGGAUUCAGUAAUGUAAUCUUGGUCCGCUGAAUGUUUUGAAUAUUAAGAAAGAGUCGUGUUUCUCCUGUACCUGUUGGCCAGAGAUCUGGAAGCGGGCACUGGAUUGGGAGAAUGGGCCUACAGUGUGGUCAUAGGGGAACCAUUGCAUUCUAAGCUGGUUAUAGUUGUCCAAUCCAGCAAGUAUGUAUUUGGUAUCUGCAGAAAGCUGCCUGAGUCUAAAAAUAUUUAAUUGAUAUGCUUAAAAUGAAAUAUCAAAAGGUAUAUUAACAUAAAUAUAAACUUGGCUUAAAUUAAAAAAAAAAAAAGAAUAAAAGUUAGUUGCUCUGUAGCUAUAGAGUUAAGUGGUUAGUUGCUGAUUAAAAAAAUGAUCAGGUAGUCAUACAUGUAACAAAGUUUAUUGUAAAAUGUUAUUGCAGGUCUGAUUUUCAUAAGUGUUAACUGCAGAAGUAUAAAGUACAUGAACAAAUUUUUAAGGUGCUAAAAUUGUUUAGGUCUAUAUCACUUUAUUUUAGAAAAGUGCUGUGAUAUAAUUUAUGCAGCUGUUGCUGCAGUUGUUGGUAUGCUUUGCUUUAUUUUCAGCCAAUGGAGGUCUACGUGGAUGACGAUUCCAAACUGACUCUCCAUGGUCUCCAACAGCACUAUGUCAAACUGAAGGACAAUGAGAAAAACAGAAAGCUGUUUGAACUGUUGGACGUUCUGGAAUUCAACCAGGUCAUUAUCUUCGUGAAGUCAGUGCAGAGAUGUAUGGCUCUGGCACAGCUGCUAGUAGAGCAGAAUUUCCCAGCAAUUGCAAUCCACAGAGCAAUGACACAGGAAGAAAGAUUGUCCCGGUAUCAGCAAUUCAAAGACUUCCAGAAGAGAAUACUGGUGGCCACAAACCUGUUUGGUAGAGGAAUGGACAUUGAAAGAGUCAACAUCGUAUUUAACUAUGACAUGCCAGAAGACUCUGACACUUACUUGCACAGAGUGGCUCGUGCAGGUAGAUUUGGAACAAAGGGUCUUGCUAUAACAUUUGUAUCAGAUGAAACGGAUGCUAAAGUACUAAAUGAAGUACAAGAAAGAUUUGAAGUAAACAUCACAGAGCUGCCAGAUGAGAUUGAUAUAUCUUCGUACAGUAAGUUUAGUCAUGUUUGUUUAAACAUAAUGUCGUGAUUUAUGUAGAAAGAUUUGAUGAAUUUAUAUUCAUGAAAUUUAAUUUUUUUUCUCCUUAUUUUAGUUGAAGGACGUUGAACACCUAAGAGACUUGAUCUGUGCAAAAAAUGAAGAAUCAUGAAAUUUGAACAAUUCGCAAAGGCCUUGUCUUUUAUAGGUGGGAGUUAAUCUCCGUUUUCAGGACAUCACUUAUUUCAUUUUGUAUCAAAUAACAUGCUGUGAAGUUGUACAUUGAGGAAACUUGUUUUUCUCUAAAGAGACGUUAACUCUUUCUAUGAAGAGACAUUAACUAUGAUGUAGUAUUUUGGUUGGUGUAAAUUCACACAGGAUGUACUGUGAUAUGUUUUAGUGUAUGUAAAUAAAGUCAUUUCAUUUUUUUAUC